GGCUGGUCUGAAUGCAGUGAUGUUUACAGCAGACUGAUCACAACCAGUUGCAGAUUUGUUUCUUCUCCACUCCCACUGCUUUCAAUAACUAGCCUUAA
ensembl:misc_RNA Y_RNA Y RNA